rnacentral:rRNA from 1 species
GCGCGUGCAGGAUGGCGGGCGGACAAGGAGGCCCUGGUGCGCAUACUGGCACGGAGGACGGCGGCGCAGCGGUCGGCGAUCCGCCGCGCCUACGCCUUCCUCUUCCGGGAGCCCCUCCUCAACUCCUUCCGCCAGCGGCUCUCCCGCCAGUACUGCCCCGUCACCGUCGACUUCUGGAAGGCGGUCAUCCUGUGGACGAUGGACCCGGCGGAGCGGGACGCGAACCUGGUGCACGGCGCGCUGCGGCGGCGAGGGGACGGCGACCACCUCGCCGUGCUGCCGCUCAGGAAGAUGCUGGUGAGCCUCGUGAGCUCCUACCGCUACGGCGGUGACCGCGUCGACGCGGACGUGGCGAAGCUGGAGGCGUCGCAGCUCUCGGAGGCCGUCCGGAGGAAGCAGCCGCACCACGACGAGGUGGUGCGGAUCCUCAGCACCCGGAGCAAGCCCCAGCUCAGGGCGACGCUCCGGCGGUACAGGGAGGACCACGGCACCGACAUCGUCGAGGACAUCGACAGCCGCUGCAGCAGCCAGUUCGCCAGGACGCUGAAGAGCGCCGUCUGGUGCCUGACCUCGCCGGAGAAACACUUCGCGGAGAUGAUCAGGGAGUCGGUGGUGGGGCUGGGGACUUACGAGGACAUGCUGACGAGGGUGGUGGUGUCGCGGGCGGAGAUCGACAUGAGGCAGAUCAAGGAGGAGUACAGGGCCAGGUUCAAGACCACCGUGACCUGCGACGUCGUUGACGACACCUCCUUCGGCUACAAGGACAUCCUGCUGGCCCUGGUUGGCGGCGAGGAAGAGUGA